GAACAAAUAGCUCAGUUGGUAGAGCGUCAGUCAAUGGUACUGACAUUAAGAUCAGUUGGUUCGAAUCCUACUUAGGACU
rnacentral:tRNA from 1 species